rnacentral:rRNA from 2 species
GCGGCUGCGCGCUUCACACAUGCAAGUCGAGCGAUGGCGCCGGUUUUCGGAUCGGUGUGCAGAGCGGCGGACGGGUGAGUAAGUGCACAGUACUGCCACCGCGUGGUGGGUAACCCUGGAGGACUGGAAGGAAUACCUCGGGUCCCUAAUCUCUCGUGCAUGGAUGGUGGGAAAGGGGUGCUGUAUCUCGAGGGUGGGUUCCUUGGGCGGAGGGGCUCGCGCAGCCUCAGCUUGAUGGUGCGCUGAGCGGGCAAGGCUACGAUGACGGGUAGCCGGCCUGAGAGGGUGAUCGGCCACACUGGGACUGAGACACGGCCCAGACUCCUACGGGAGGCAGCAGUGGGGAAUUUUGCGCAAUGGGCGAGCAACUCGCAGCGAGACGUGUGGCGCGGGACGAGGGCCCGGGUAUUGUAAACCUCUUUCGGCCCUGACGAUGAUGACGGUAGGGGCUAAACGGAAGCCGGCUAACUACGUGCCAGCAGGCGCCGUAAUACGUAGGGCGCGAGCGUUGUCCGGAUUUACUGGGCGUAAAGGGCUCGUAGGCGGUUUGUUCGCGCGGUCGUGUGGAAAUCUGGCUUAAGGGCACUCGUGCGGCCGAUACCCGGAGAGUCAGGGCGGGUAGGGGCAAGCGGAAUUCCUGGUGUAGCGGUGAAAUGCGCAGAUAAGUCGAGGCACCGAAAUCGAAGGCGCAGCGCUGGUUGCCGUUCCUGACGCUGAGGAGCAGCGAAGUGGCGAAGUAGCAGGAUUAGAGAAAAGGUCCGCAGCGAGAAGGCUAUUGCG